rnacentral:rRNA from 1 species
AACGAACGCUGGCGGCAUGCCUAACACAUGCAAGUCGAACGAGACCUUCGGGUCUAGUGGCGCACGGGUGCGUAACGCGUGGGAACCUGCCCUUAGGUUCGGAAUACCUCCCCGAAAGGGGUGCUAAUACCGGAUAAUGUCUUCGGACCAAAGAUUUAUCGCCUUUGGAUGGGCCCGCGUUGGAUUAGCUAGUUGGUAGGGUAAAAGCCUACCAAGGCGACGAUCCAUAGCUGGUCUGAGAGGAUGAUCAGCCACACUGGGACUGAGACACGGCCCAGACUCCUACGGGAGGGAGCAGUGGGGAAUAUUGGACAAGGGGGGAAAGCCUGAUCCAGCAAUGCCGGGGGAGUGAUGAAGGCCUUAGGGUUGUAAAGCUCUUUUACCCGGGAUGAUAAUGACAGUACCGGGAGAAUAAGCACCGGCUAACUCCGUG